rnacentral:rRNA from 1 species
GUGAGGAAUAUUGGACAAUGGGCGCAAGCCUGAUCCAGCCAUGCCGCGUGCAGGAAGACGCAUCUAUGGUGUGUAAACUGCUUUUGUACGGGAAGAAACACUCCCUCGUGAGGGAGCUUGACGGUACCGUAAGAAUAAGGAUCGGCUAACUCCGUGCCAGCAGCCGCGGUAAUACGGAGGAUCCAAGCGUUAUCCGGACUCAUUGGGUUUAAAGGGUCCGUAGGCGGUUUAAUAAGUCAGUGGUGAAAGCCCAUCGCUCAACGAUGGAACGGCCAUUGAUACUGUUAGACUUGAAUUACAAGGAAGUAACUAGAAUAUGUAGUGUAGCGGUGAAAUGCUUAGAUAUUGGGAAGAACACCGGUGGCGAAGGCGACUUGCUGGGCAGCAACUGACGCUGAGGCGCGAAAGCCAGGGGAGCAAACGGGAUUAGAAACCCGUGUAGUCC